rnacentral:rRNA from 1 species
AACGAACGCUGGCGGCAGGCCUAACACAUGCAAGUCGAGCGCCCCGCAAGGGGAGCGGCAGACGGGUGAGUAACGCGUGGGAAGGUACCCUUUGCUACGGGAUAGCUCCGGGAGACUGGAAUUAAUACCGUAGGUGCCCUACGGGGUAAAGAUUUAUCGGCAAAGGAUCGGCCCGCGGUGGAUUAGCUAGUUGGUGGGGUCAUGGCCUGCCAAGGCGAGGACCCAUAGCUGGUCUGAGAGGAUGAUCAGCCACAUUGGGACUGAGACACGGCCCAAACUCCUACGGGAGGCAGCAGUGGGGAAUAUUGGACAAUGGGGGGAAGCCUGAUCCAGCUAUGACGCGUGAGUGAUGAAGGCCUUAGGGUUGUAAAGCUCUUUCACCGGCGAAGAUAAUGACGGUAUCCGGAGAAGAAGCCCCGGCUAACUUCGUGCCAGCCGCCGCCGUAACAC